rnacentral:lncRNA from 1 species
AAACAAUUUUGGUCCUAGUACAGAAUGCCAAUAUAAAAAGGAAGUAUAGGCUAAAACUGGAGGGGUAGUGAGUUGUGCAAGGUUUGUGGAAGAUGAAUCUUGUGGAAAGAAUUUUCUGGCUGGGCUCAGUGGCUCACACCUGUAAUCCCAGCACUUUGGGAGGCCAAGGUGGGAGGACUGCUUGAGCUCAGGACUUCAAGAUAAGCCUGGGCAACAUAGCAAGACCUCAUCUCUACUAAAAAUCCAAAGAAUUAGCCAGGUGUGGUGGCACAUACCUGUAGUCCUAGCUACUCAAAAGGCUGCGGCGGGAGGAUUGCUUGAACCUAGGAGUACAAGGCUGCAGUGAGCCACGUUCACGCCACUGUACUCCAGCCUGGGCGACAGAGUGAGCCACGUUCACGCCACUGUACUCCAGCCUGGGCGACAGAGUGAGCCACGUUCACACCACUGUACUCCAGCCUGGGCGACAGAGUGAGCCACGUUCACGCCACUGUACUCCAGCCUGGGCGACAGAGUGAGCCACCUUCACGCCACUGUACUCCAGCCUGGGCGACAGAGUGAGCCACGUUCACGCCACUGUACUCCAGCCUGGGCGACAGAGUGAGCCACGUUCACGCCACUGUACUCCAGCCUGGGCGACACAGUGAGCCACGUUCACGCCACUGUACUCCAGCCUGGGCGACACAGUGAGCCACGUUCACGCCACUGUACUCCAGCCUGGGCGACACAGUGAGCCACGUUCACGCCACUGUACUCCAGCCUGGGCCACAGAGUGAGACCUUGUCCCAAAAAAAAUAAGACGCCAACAUGGGUGAAACCCCUUAUCUACUAAAAAUACAAAAAUUAGCCGGGCAUGAUGGUGCACCCUGUAAUCCCAGCUACUCGGGAGGCUGAGACAAGAGAAUCGCUUGAACCUGAGAGGCGGAGAUUACAGUGAGCUGAGAUCGCGCCACUGCACUCCAGCCUGGCGACAGAGCAAGACUCCAUCUCAAAAAAAGAAAAGAAAAGAAAAGAAAAAAGUGUGUGUGAUCAAGAUGGCUAAAAUUAGAAGGGGAUCAUUUAGUUUUACUAAAAAUUGAGCAUUAAUAUACAAAGCACACAGAUGCAGAGCCAGAGUCUGGGCCCUGUGUUGGAAUAACAGAGUUUUCCUGGAGCAUUGAUCCGCUCUUUAAUAGAAAGUUGUAAAAGGUUAUAAAAUGUUUUUGGAAAUCUUAUCUUCUGUGAUAAAAACUGAAAUCGGAUAGAUAUGUUUAUAAAGUUAUAUUAAAAUUAACUUUAGGGGCCGGGCACGAUAGCUCACACCUGUAAUCCCAGCACUUUGGGAGGCCAAGGUGGGCGGAUCACCUGAGGUCAGGAGUUCGAGACCAGCCUGGCCAACAUGGUGAAACCCUGUCUCUACUAAAAAUACAAAAAUUAGCCAGGCAU